rnacentral:rRNA from 1 species
UAAUCCUGUUCGCUCCCCACGCUUUCGUCCUUCAGCGUCAGUACAUACGUAGUAGACUGCCUUCGCAAUCGGUAUUCUGUGUAAUAUCUAUGCAUUUCACCGCUACACUACACAUUCUAUCUACUUCCAUAUGACUCAAGUCAACCAGUAUCAAAGGCAGUUCCAUAGUUGAGCUAUGGGAUUUCACCUCUGACUUAAUCGACCGCCUGCGGACCCUUUAAACCCAAUGAUUCCGGAUAACGCUCGGACCCUCCGUAUUACCGCGGCUGCUGGCACGGAGUUAGCCGGUCCUUAUUCUUACAGUACCGUCAAGCUGGUAUACAUACCAGUGUUUCUUCCUGUAUAAAAGUAGUUUACAACCCAUAGGGCAUUCUUCCUACACGCGGCAUGGCUGGAUCAGAGUCUCCUCCAUUGUCCAAUAUUCCUCACUGCUGCCUCCCGUAGGAGUCUGGUCCGUGUCUCAGUACCAGUGUGGGGGAUCUCCCUCUCAGGACCCCUACCUAUCGCUGUCUUGGUAAGCCGUUACCUUACCAACUAACUAAUAGGACGCAUAGCCAUCUUUUACCGAUAAAUCUUUAAUUAUAAACUGAUGCCAGUCUACAAUACUAUGAGGCAUUAAUCUUCAUUUCUAAAGGCUAUUCCUCUGUAAAAGGUAGGUUCUAUACGCGUUACGCACCCGUGCGCCGGUCGUCAUCUGUGCAAGCACAAUGUUACCCCUCGACUUGCAUGUGUUAAGCCUGCCGCUAGCGUUCAUCCUGAGCCAGGAUCAAACUCU